UCCCUGGUGGUCCAGUGGUUAAGACUCUGAGCUCCCAAUGAGGGGGCUCGGGUUCGAUCCCUGGUCAGGGAA
rnacentral:tRNA from 1 species